UACGGGGGGGGCAAGCGUUGUUCGGAAUUACUGGGCGUAAAGGGCUCGUAGGCGGCCAACUAAGUCAGACGUGAAAUCCCUCGGCUUAACCGGGGAACUGCGUCUGAUACUGGAUGGCUUGAGAUUGGGAGAGGGAUGCGGAAUUCCAGGUGUAGCGGUGAAAUGCGUAGAGAUCCGGAGGAACACCGGUGGCGAAGGCGGCCCGCUGGGCAGUGGCUGACGCUGAGGCGCGACAGCGUGGGGAGCAAACAGG
rnacentral:rRNA from 1 species